rnacentral:rRNA from 1 species
AGAGUUUGAUCAUGGCUCAGAACGAACGCUGGCGGCAGGCCUAACACAUGCAAGUCGAACGCCCCCUUCGGGGGGAGUGGCGCACGGGUGAGUAACGCGUGGGAAUCUGCCCUUUGGUCUGGAAUAACCCUGGGAAACUAGGGCUAACACCGGAUAAGCCCGAGAGGGGAAAGUUUACGCCGAAGGAGGAGCCCGCGUCCGAUUAGCUAGUUGGUGAGGUAAGAGCUCACCAAGGCUACGAUCGGUAGCUGGUCUGAGAGGACGAUCAGCCACACUGGGACUGAGACACGGCCCAGACUCCUACGGGAGGCAGCAGUGGGGAAUAUUGGACAAUGGGCGCAAGCCUGAUCCAGCCAUGCCGCGUGAGUGAAGAAGGCCUUCGGGUUGUAAAGCUCUUUCGCAAGGAAAGAAAACUUAUCUACUAAUACUAGGUGAGGUUGACGGUACCUUGAUAAGAAGCACCGGCUAACUACGUGCCAGCAGCCGCGGUAAUACGUAGG